rnacentral:rRNA from 1 species
UACGGGGGGGCAAGCGUUGUUCGGAAUUACUGGGCGUAAAGGGCUCGUAGGCGGCCAACUAAGUCAGACGUGAAAUCCCUCGGCUUAACCGGGGAACUGCGUCUGAUACUGGAUGGCUUGAGAUUGGGAGAGGGAUGCGGAAUUCCAGGUGUAGCAGUGAAAUGCGCAGAUAUCGGGAGGAACACCGGUGGCGAAGGCGGUUCUCUGGGCCUUACCUGACGCUGAGGAGCGAAAGCGUGGGGAGCGAACAGG